UACACAUACAGGGUGUAUAAAAUAACUGAACAGAUUUGAAAUUACUCUCAAAUCUGUUCAGUUAUUUUAUACCCCCUGUAUAAAA
rnacentral:miRNA from 1 species